AGAGUUUGAUCAUGGCUCAGAACGUACGCUGGCGGCACGCCUAACACAUGCAAGUCGAACGCAGUAGCAAUACUGAGUGGCAGACGGGUGAGUAACAUGUGGGAAUCUGCCUUAUGGUUCAGGACAACAUUGGGAAACUGAUGCUAAUACUGGAUAAGCCCUUACGGGGAAAGUUUUAAUGCCAUAAGAUGAGCCCGCACUUGAUUAGCUUGUUGGUGAGGUAAAAGCUCACCAAGGCAAUGAUCAAUAGCUGAUCUGAGAGGAUGAUCAGCCACACUGGGACUGAGACACGGCCCAGACUCCUACGGGAGGCAGCAGUGGGGAAUUUUGCACAAUGGAGGAAACUCUGAUGCAGCGAUGCCGCGUGAGUGAAGAAGGCCUUUGGGUUGUAAAGCUCUUUUGUGGGGGAAGAUAAUGACGGUACCCCAAGAAUAAGAUCCGGCUAACUUCGUGCCAGCAGCCGCGGUAAUACGAAGGGAUCUAGCGUAGUUCGGAAUUACUGGGCGUAAAGCGCGCGUAGGCGGUUUAGAAAGUUAAUUGUGAAAUCCCAAAGCUUAACUUUGGAACUGCAAUUAAAACUGCUCGACUAGAGUUUGAUAGAGGAAAGCGGAAUACAUAGUGUAGAGGUGAAAUUCGUAGAUAUUAUGUAGAACACCAGUUGCGAAGGCGGCUUUCUGGGUCAACACUGACGCUGAGGCGCGAAAGUAUGGGUAGCAAAGAGGAUUAGAUACCCUCGUAGUCCAUACCAUAAACGAUGAUUGCUAGAUGUUGGAAAUUUAUUUUCAGUAUCGCAGCUAACGCAUUAAGCAAUCCGCCUGGGGAGUACGACCGCAAGGUUAAAACUCAAAUGAAUUGACGGGGACCCGCACAAGCGGUGGAGCAUGUGGUUUAAUUCGAAGAUACGCGCAGAACCUUACCAACCCUUGACAUGUCUGUCGCGAGUUUAGGAAACUAGACUUUUCGGUUCGGCCGGACAGAACACAGGUGCUGCAUGGCUGUCGUCAGCUCGUGUCGUGAGAUGUUGGGUUAAGUCCCGCAACGAGCGCAACCCUCACCCUUAGUUACCAGCGGGUAAAGCCGGGGACUCUAGGGGGACUGCCGGUGCCAAACCGGAGGAAGGUGGGGAUGACGUCAAAUCAUCAUGCCCCUUAUGUCUUGGGCUGCACGCAUGCUACAAUGGCCGGUACAGAGGGCUGCAAUACCGUAAGGUGGAGCGAAUCCCAAAAAGCCGGUCUCAGUUCGGAUUGAGGUCUGCAACUCGACCUCAUGAAGUUGGAGUUGCUAGUAAUCGUAGAUCAGCAACGCUACGGUGAAUACGUUCCCGGGGCUUGUACACACCGCCCGUCACGUCACGAAAGUCGGUAACACCCAAAGUCAGUGGCCCAACCGCAAGGGGGGAGCUGCCUAAGGUGGGAUCGGUGAUUGGGACGAAGUCGUAACAAGGUAACCGUA
rnacentral:rRNA from 1 species